rnacentral:rRNA from 1 species
CGCGGCCUAUCAGCUUGUUGGUGGGGUAACGGCUCACCAAGGCGACGACGGGUAGCUGGUCUGAGAGGAUGUCCAGCCACACUGGGACUGAGACACGGCCCAGACUCCUACGGGAGGCAGCAGUGGGGAAUCUUGCGCAAUGGGCGAAAGCCUGACGCAGCGACGCCGCGUGCGGGAAGACGGCCCUCGGGUUGUAAACCGCUUUCAGCAGGGACGAUCGUGACGGUACCUGCAGAAGAAGCCCCGGCCAACUACGUGCCAGCAGCCGCGGUAAUACGUAGGGGGCGAGCGUUGUCCGGAUUUAUUGGGCGUAAAGAGCUCGUAGGCGGUUUGGUGAGUCGGGUGUGAAAUCUCCACGCUCAACGUGGAGGGGCCACUCGAUACUGCCAUGACUCGAGUCCGGUAGAGGAGCGUGGAAUUCCCGGUGUAGCGGUGAAAUGCGCAGAUAUCGGGAGGAACACCCGUGGCGAAGGCGGCGCUCUGGGCCGGAACUGACGCUGAGGAGCGAAAGUGUGGGGAGCGAACAGGAUUAGAUACCCUGGUAGUCCACGCCGUAAACGUUGGGCACUAGGUGUGGGGCUCUAUCGACGGGUUCCGUGCCGAAGCUAACGCAUUAAGUGCCCCGCCUGGGGAGUACGG